CCCCCUCUCUCUUCGUGCCGCUCUGUACUGCUCAGUGCACUGUCUCCUGCACAAAAUUUGUCUGUUUCUCCUUUUCCUCCUCACCAGCAUUCAUCACUCAUCCACCCUUCUCAAAAAGGGGUUAGAAAAAAUUAGAGAGAGAAAAUUAUCAAUUACAGAAAUUUUAAUCUUAUUUACAUAUAUAUAUAUAGAUACAGUCCACUUGUAUCUACACAUCACCUCUUGAAGGAAGAAAAGGAAGCUGGUCGGAGUUUCCGCACAGGUGAUGUUUAUAGCUGCCGUUUUCAUCCUCCGUGUACGAAACCCCUCUUUUUGCUUCAAACCCUUAUUUUUCGCUGAUUUUACAGUUUUGUAAUU
rnacentral:lncRNA from 1 species